rnacentral:tRNA from 1 species
GGGGUUCUGGCCGAGUGGUUAAGGCGCUGUGUUUAGGCGAAAGUUGAUCCGCAGUGGGAAACCGCGCAGGUUCGAAUCCUGCGGACCUCA